UUUAUUUCCCUCUCACAUGUUAUAAUUUUUAUGGAGAGGAAGACUUCUGUGAUGGUGUGCAGGACUUGGAGAAUGGUAAAUGUGGGCCGGUAGAAUUGUUUCAGCCGGAUCAUAUGCCCAUGUUUACGCUCCCAACUUGGCUUAAGUCGAAACCCCCUGCUUCAAAGAAAUGAUUAUUUCCAGGCAUCUGCUUGUCUUUGUAUUUUUUUCUCCCCUUUAGAAGGAUACUUCUUGUAUGGGAGAAGGAGGUUGUGGAAAGCUGUAACCGAGAGCAAAUGAAGCGAAUAUGAAGUAGCGUGUGGUCUCUUCGUCUGUGGGAAAAAUUAAAAACUUCACUUGGAGAGCUGUUCAUGAUAUAGUGCCAUCUAUGGAAGUGCUGUACAAGAGGAAAAUUUUGCGCUAGUGCGUUACAUCCGGUGUACCAAAAGGAAGGGGAAUCUACCAUCCAUCUUUUAGCCGGUGAGCUCAGAUGGUGUGGUAUGCUUCCCCGUUGGAUUGAUAUGAGGACGGUGGCAGGAGAUAUGAUGGCGGAAUAAUGGUGGGCUUGUCUUAUCGAAAGAUGGAGAGGCAAAGCUUACUCUUGAAAAAUUUCGGCAGCGGUUAUGUAGACUCUACAAGAUGAAUGAUUCUUAUUGCUACAAGUAGUACGGUAGGACCCAAAAUGGACGUGUCGGAAAACACAAAAUUUCUUCGACAGCGGACCGAAUUUAAACUCAUUAAAAUCAAAUAUAUCUCCCAUGUAAGCUCAAAAAAGAUUAAACCCCGUUUACUUUGAUUUUAAAUCAAAUGUUACAACAUUACUGCCGAAUGGUCCUUCAGAUCA